GUAGAUGGGCCCGACACACGUUUGAUCAAAUAUGUGCGUUAAGAGCUUCCAUUGACUCAUUUAUAGUAGGUAUUACUGCUAGGUCAUGUGCUGCUUGGGGAAACGUCACUGCUGAGUCCAGUCAUUGGCUUCAGCAGCACAUGUGACCCUGUUUGUGCAAAAGUUGACAGACAGAAACCAGAAGCCCAGUGAAGACAUCCCGGGAGCCAGAGAGUCUGUAGGAGCUGUGGGAGUAGGUAAGUAUAGAUUUUUUCACAGGUACUGCUGGGGAAAGGAGGAAGGGGGUUUAGAUAAAGAAAUCCUGGACAACCCCUUUAAAGGCAUUUCAACUUUUAUAGCAUAUGCAUUAGCUUUAGAAAAAAGUGAUCAUGCAUGUGUGGUCAAUCUCAGUCUUAUCUGUGGGAGAUAAACAGCCAAGCAAGCAGACCAUGCACCAUUUAUACGGUUCAUCUGGAUAUGCAUUAAAAGUGAUGUGUGAAAUCCUUGUGGCUAACAUCCUAGUCUUCUUCUAUUUAGCCUUCUUCUUGCUUAAUAUAUAUAUAUAUUUUUUUUUUUUUUUGAAGGGUGUCUCAACUUUUGCAGUGCUGCAGGCUGACAGAUGUUCCUCUCAGCUCCACCUUCGCCCACAUUUUUUCAAUUCAUAGUGCCACCUGGCGAUGGCUCCCACAGGAACAAAGAACCAUCCAUCCGGUGAUUUGGAACAACCAAUUCUUCAGGAGACCCAGAUGCACAUUAAAGUCAGUGAGUUUAGCUGAAUUUUAGCACUUUUUAUUGGGUAGAAGAUGUUCCACCGGUCCAGUCGGUAUUCAAUAGGUUGUUAUAUAGGAUGGAAUUCAAAGGUAAUAAAAACAAUUCUUCUUUUCAGGACCAUCAUCAUUCAGUGAGAGCAAAGUGCUAUUAUAUAGAAUGUCUCUCGGAGGAGGAUCUCCAGACAUGGUACCUAAUAGAGGAUGGUGCAGUAACUGAGACAGAUCAGCAGAAUUCAAAUGAUAGAACUUUACUC